CUCUUGAUGUAGCUGCAAACAGGAUAAGGAUAUCUUCUUAGUCAAUGCACUCUUCUAAUCCUUCUUAUAACUUGAAGUGCUAUGCUUUCUUUCUCACCACCUUACUACUAGGGAAACCACUGGAAAAUGCUGAUCUGAUGAUGAAACCAUUCAGGGACAUUCCUGCCUUGUCAGAAACUCUGGUUUUGGUGAGCCCGCUGCCUUACUUGCCUUGAGGGUGAUGACUCAACUAAUCUUCAUGUGGCACAUCUGAAAAUCCAGCACCAUGUGCUUGAAAGCCCAGACUUCCUUCCCUGUAGCCUCUCAGGGCCUGGAGACUGCUGCCCAGUUCCUGCAGCACAUUCUGAAGCUUACAGUGUUUGAUCUGCAUAGCAGCUCCAGCACUUCUAGCUUCAAAACUGAGAAGAGCUGGGACAAGAGGAGAGGCGAAAUCCCAGGAGUACUUUCAGGACAGCGGAACCAUGGAAAUUUGAAGGCAAUUGAGCAAUUUUACAGUCUGGAGUCCUGAUUCAGCAGCCUUCCCUGCUCAGCAAAGAAAUGAUGUGCUUAACUCCAAUGGGACUUGGGCAUAUGCUUAAUUGGGACCAACAUUUAAGAUCACAUUAAAAUUAAAAUCUUAAUUCUUGUGCCAAUCCUGAGCCUCUGUGCAGAACACCGUUCGGUUCCAUGAUGCAAACUUUUAUACAAAGAGCUCCUUGAAGAAUCUCUGCUUUGCUGUGUGUAUGCAUGCGCGUGCUGCACAAAGCCCAAAAGGUUUGGAGGAGAGCUUACAUGCAGUUUGUAUGUAAAAUGCUUUGAAUACAAUGCAUGCAUUACCAUGUAUGGGCGUUUGUAUUGCGUUUGAAUACAAUGUAUGCAUUCAAAGAAGGAGGAAAAGAAAAGGAAAUUGUGCAGAUCCCCUGGAGGGUUAGCCCAGCAUCACAGAGCAAGGAAAGCUGAGGGCAGGCUUGUAGCUGGAAACCUUUCCUGUCCAGUGACAGCUUCCAGUUCUUCCGUUAUCUGUUUAUUAUAAUUAAUAAUUUUGGUUUUGC
rnacentral:lncRNA from 1 species